rnacentral:rRNA from 1 species
UACGUAGGGUGCGAGCGUUGUCCGGAAUUAUUGGGCGUAAAGGGCUCGUAGGCGGUUUGUCGCGUCGGGAGUGAAAACCUCGGGCUUAACUCGGGGCUUGCUUUCGAUACGGGCAGACUGGAGGUAUGCAGGGGAGAACGGAAUUCCUGGCGUAGCGGUGAAAUGCGCAGAUAUCGAGAGGAACACCUGCGGCGAAGGCGGGUUGCUGGGCCGACACUGACGCUGAUGCGCGAAAGCCAGGGGAGCGAACGGG